GACGAACGCUGGCGGCGUGCUUAACACAUGCAAGUCGAACGAAGAGCGAUGGAAGCUUGCUUCUAUCAAUCUUAGUGGCGAACGGGUGAGUAACGCGUAAUCAACCUGCCCUUCAGAGGGGGACAACAGUUGGAAACGACUGCUAAUACCGCAUACGAUCUAACCUCGGCAUCGAGGAAAGAUGAAAGGUGGCCUCUAUGUAUAAGCUAUCACUGAAGGAGGGGAUUGCGUCUGAUUAGCUAGUUGGAGGGGUAACGGCCCACCAAGGCGAUGAUCAGUAGCCGGUCUGAGAGGAUGAACGGCCACAUUGGGACUGAGACACGGCCCAGACUCCUACGGGAGGCAGCAGUGGGGAAUCUUCCGCAAUGGACGAAAGUCUGACGGAGCAACGCCGCGUGAGUGAUGACGGCCUUCGGGUUGUAAAGCUCUGUUAAUCGGGACGAAAGGCCUUCUUGCGAAUAGUGAGAAGGAUUGACGGUAUCGGAAUAGAAAGCCACGGCUAACUACGUG
rnacentral:rRNA from 1 species